rnacentral:rRNA from 1 species
GACGAACGCUGGCGGCGUGCUUAACACAUGCAAGUCGAACGGAAAGGCCCUGCUUGCAGGGUACUCGAGUGGCGAACGGGUGAGUAACACGCGGGUGGUCUGCCCUGCACUUCGGGAUAAGCUUGGGAAACUGGGCCUAAUACCGGAUAGGAGCCAUCUUUAGUGUGGUGGUUGGAAAGUUUUUUCGGUGUAGGAUGAGCUCGCGGCCUAUCAGCUUGUUGGUGGGGUAAUGGCCUACCAAGGCGGCGACGGGUAGCCGGCCUGAGAGAGUGUACGGCCACAUUGGGACUGAGAUGCGGGCCAGACUCCGACGGGAGGCAGCAGUGGGGAAUAUUGCACAAUGGGCGCAAGCCUGAUGCAGCGACGCCGCGUGGGGGAUGAAGGCCUUCGGGUUGUAAACUCCUAUCGCUAGGGACGAAGCUUUUUUGUGACGGUACCUAGAUAAGAAGCACCGGCUAACUACGUG